UGCCAGCCGCCGCGGUAACACGAACCGUACGAACGUUAUUCGGAAUCACUGGGCUUAAAGCGUGCGUAGGCGGCUUGGCAAGUUGGGUGUGAAAUCCCUCGGCUCAACCGAGGAAUUGCGCCCAAAACUGCCAGGCUUGAGGAAGAUAGAGGUGAGCGGAACUCUUGGUGGAGCGGUGAAAUGCGUUGAUAUCAGGGGGAACACCGGUGGCGAAAGCGGCUCACUGGGUCUUUUCUGACGCUGAGGUACGAAAGCUAGGGGAGCGAACGGGAUUAGAUA
rnacentral:rRNA from 1 species